UACGGGGGGGGCAAGCGUUGUUCGGAAUUACUGGGCGUAAAGGGCUCGUAGGCGGCCAUCUAAGUCGGACGUGAAAUCCCUCGGCUUAACCGGGGAACUGCGCUUGAUACUGGAUGGCUUGAGAUUGGGAGAGGGAUGCGGAAUUCCAGGUGUAGCGGUGAAAUGCGUAGAUAUCUGGAGGAACACCUGUGGUGUAGACAGCUUACUGGACCACGACUGACGCUGAGACACGAAAGCGUGGGUAGCAAACAGG
rnacentral:rRNA from 1 species